UCCGCGCUGCAUUAGCUAGUUGGUAAGGUAACGGCUUACCAAGGCAACGAUGCAUAGCCGACCUGAGAGGGUGAUCGGCCACACUGGAACUGAGAUACGGUCCAGACUCCUACGGGAGGCAGCAGUAGGGAAUCUUCCGCAAUGGGCGAAAGCCUGACGGAGCAACGCCGCGUGAGUGAUGAAGGUCUUCGGAUCGUAAAACUCUGUUAUUAGGGAAGAACAUAUGUGUAAGUAACUGUGCACAUCUUGACGGUACCUAAUCAGAAAGCCACGGCUAACUACGUGCCAGCAGCCGCGGUAAUACGUAGGUGGCAAGCGUUAUCCGGAAUUAUUGGGCGUAAAGCGCGCGUAGGCGGUUUUUUAAGUCUGAUGUGAAAGCCCACGGCUCAACCGUGGAGGGUCAUUGGAAACUGGAAAACUUGAGUGCAGAAGAGGAAAGUGGAAUUCCAUGUGUAGCGGUGAAAUGCGCAGAGAUAUGGAGGAACACCAGUGGCGAAGGCGACUUUCUGGUCUGUAACUGACGCUGAUGUGCGAAAGCGUGGGGAUCAAACAGGAUUAGAUACCCUGGUAGUCCACGCCGUAAACGAUGAGUGCUAAGUGUUAGGGGGUUUCCGCCCCUUAGUGCUGCAGCUAACGCAUUAAGCACUCCGCCUGGGGAGUACGACCGCAAGGUUGAAACUCAAAGGAAUUGACGGGGACCCGCACAAGCGGUGGAGCAUGUGGUUUAAUUCGAAGCAACGCGAAGAACCUUACCAAAUCUUGACAUCCUUUGACAACUCUAGAGAUAGAGCCUUCCCCUUCGGGGGACAAAGUGACAGGUGGUGCAUGGUUGUCGUCAGCUCGUGUCGUGAGAUGUUGGGUUAAGUCCCGCAACGAGCGCAACCCUUAAGCUUAGUUGCCAUCAUUAAGUUGGGCACUCUAAGUUGACUGCCGGUGACAAACCGGAGGAAGGUGGGGAUGACGUCAAAUCAUCAUGCCCCUUAUGAUUUGGGCUACACACGUGCUACAAUGGACAAUACAAAGGGCAGCGAAACCGCGAGGUCAAGCAAAUCCCAUAAAGUUGUUCUCAGUUCGGAUUGUAGUCUGCAACUCGACUACAUGAAGCUGGAAUCGCUAGUAAUCGUAGAUCAGCAUGCUACGGUGAAUACGUUCCCGGGUCUUGUACACACCGCCCGUCACACCACGAGAGUUUGUAACACCCGAAGCCGGUGGAGUAACCUUUUAGGAGCUAGCCGUCGAAGGUGGGACAAAUGAUUGGGGUGAAGUCGUAACAAGGUAGCCGUAUCGGAAGGUGCGGCUGGAUCACCU
rnacentral:rRNA from 1 species